rnacentral:rRNA from 1 species
AUUGAACGCUGGCGGCAGGCCUAACACAUGCAAGUCGAGCGGAUGAAGGGAGCUUGCUCCUGGAUUCAGCGGCGGACGGGUGAGUAAUGCCUAGGAAUCUGCCUGGUAGUGGGGGAUAACGUCCGGAAACGGGCGCUAAUACCGCAUACGUCCUGAGGGAGAAAGUGGGGGGUCUUCGGACCUCACGCUAUCAGAUGAGCCUAGUGCGGAUUAGCUAGUUGGUGGGGUAGAGGCCUACCUAGGCGACGAUUCGUAACUGGUCUGAGGGGAUGAUCAGUCACACUGGAACUGAGAGACGGUCCAGAGUCCUACGGGAGGCAGCAGUGGGGAAGAUUGGACAAUGGGCGAAAGCCUGAACCAGGCAUGGCGCGUGUGUGAAGAAGGUCUGCGGAUUGGAAAACACUUUAAGUGGGGAGAAAGGGCAGUAAGUUAAUACAUUGCUGUUUUGAGGUUACCAACAGAAUAAGCACCGCCUAACAUGGU